rnacentral:rRNA from 1 species
ACGAACGCUGGCGGCGUGCUUAACACAUGCAAGUCGAACGGAAAGGCCCCUUUGGGGGUACUCGAGUGGCGAACGGGUGAGUAACACGUGAGUAACCUGCCCUUGACUUCGGGAUAACUUCAGGAAACUGGGGCUAAUACCGGAUAGGAAUCCUUGCUGCAUGGUGGGGGUUGGAAAGCUUCGGCGGUUUUGGAUGGACUCGCGGCUUAUCAGCUUGUUGGUGGGGUAGUGGCUUACCAAGGCUUUGACGGGUAGCCGGCCUGAGAGGGCGACCGGCCACAUUGGGACUGAGAUACGGCCCAGACUCCUACGGGAGGCAGCAGUGGGGAAUAUUGCACAAUGGGCGGAAGCCUGAUGCAGCAACGCCGCGCGCGGGAUGACGGCCUUCGGGUUGUAAACCGCUUUCAGCAGGGGCGAAGCUUGUGGUGACGGUACCUGCAGAAGAAGCACCGGCUAACUACGUG